rnacentral:rRNA from 1 species
UACGUAGGGGGCGAGCGUUGUCCGGAUUUAUUGGGCGUAAAAGGCUUGUAGGCGGUUUGUCGCGUCUGCCGUGAAAAUCCGAGGCUCAACCUCGGACUUGCGGUGGGUACGGGCAGACUAGAGUGUGGUAGGGGAGACUGGAAUUCCUGGUGUAGCGGUGAAAUGCGCAGAUAUCAGGAGGAACACCGAUGGCGAAGGCAGGUCUCUGGGCCACUACUGACGCUGAGAAGCGAAAGCAUGGGGAGCGAACAGG